CAGCCGCCACGGGAAUACGUAGGUGGCAAGCGUUGUCCGGAAUUAUUGGGCGUAAAGGGCUCGCAGGCGGUUUCUUAAGUCUGAUGUGAAAGCCCCCGGCUCAACCGGGGAGGGUCAUUGGAAACUGGGAAACUUGAGUGCAGAAGAGGAGAGUGGAAUUCCACGUGUAGCGGUGAAAUGCGUAGAGAUGUGGAGGAACACCAGUGGCAAAGGCGACUCUCUGGUCUGUAACUGACGCUGAGGAGCGAAAGCGUGGGGAGCGAACAGGAUUAGAUACCCGGGUAGUCCCUGUCUUUUAUAC
rnacentral:rRNA from 1 species